CCCCUAGUAGCUCAGUUGGUAGUAGCGCCUGUUUGAAAAACAGGAGGUCGUCGGUUCAAUUCCGACCUGGGGGG
rnacentral:tRNA from 3 species